rnacentral:rRNA from 1 species
GUGAGGAAUAUUGGACAAUGGGCGCAAGCCUGAUCCAGCCAUGCCGCGUGCAGGAAGACGCAUCUAUGGUGUGUAAACUGCUUUUGUACGGGAAGAAACACUCCCUCGUGAGGGAGCUUGAUGGUACCGUAAGAAUAAGGAUCGGCUAACUCCGUGCCAGCAGCCGCGGUAAUACGGAGGAUCCAAGCGUUAUCCGGAAUCAUUGGGUUUAAAGGGUCCGUAGGCGGUUUAAUAAGUCAGUGGUGAAAGCCCAUCGCUCAACGAUGGAACGGCCAUUGAUACUGUUAGACUUGAAUUACAAGGAAGUAACUAGAAUAUGUAGUGUAGCGGUGAAAUGCUUAGAUAUUACAUGGAAUACCAAUUGCGAAGGCAGGUUACUACUUGUGGAUUGACGCUGAUGGACGAAAGCGUGGGGAGCGAACAGGAUUAGAAACCCGUGUAGUCC